GAGGACCGAACCGACUAAUGUUGAAAAAUUAGCGGAUGACCUGUGGCUGGGGGUGAAAGGCCAAUCAAACCGGGAGAUAGCUGGUUCUCCCCGAAAGCUAUUUAGGUAGCGCCUCGUGAACUCAUCUUCGGGGGUAGAGCACUGUUUCGGCUAGGGGGCCAUCCCGGCUUACCAACCCGAUGCAAACUACGAAUACCGAAGAAUGUUAUCACGGGAGACACACGGCGGGUGCUAACGUCCGUCGUGAAGAGGGAAACAACCCAGACCGCCAGCUAAGGUCCCAAAGUCAUGGUUAAGUGGGAAACGAUGUGGGAAGGCACAGACAGCCAGGAUGUUGGCUUAGAAGCAGCCAUCAUUUAAAGAAAGCGUAAUAGCUCACUGGUCGAGUCGGCCUGCGCGGAAGAUGUAACGGGGCUAAACCAUGCACCGAAGCUGCGGCAGCGACACUAUGUGUUGUUGGGUAGGGGAGCGUUCUGUAAGCCGUUGAAGGUGUGCUGUGAGGCAUGCUGGAGGUAUCAGAAGUGCGAAUGCUGACAUAAGUAACGAUAAAGCGGGUGAAAAGCCCGCUCGCCGGAAGACCAAGGGUUCCUGUCCAACGUUAAUCGGGGCAGGGUGAGUCGACCCCUAAGGCGAGGCCGAAAGGCGUAGUCGAUGGGAAACAGGUUAAUAUUCCUGUACUUGGUGUUACUGCGAAGGGGGGACGGAGAAGGCUAUGUCAGCCGGGCGACGGUUGUCCCGGUUUAAGCAUGUAGGCGGAGGUUCCAGGUAAAUCCGGUACCUUAUUAACGCUGAGGUGUGAUGACGAGGCACUACGGUGCUGAAGUGAUAAAUGCCCUGCUUCCAGGAAAAGCCUCUAAGCAUCAGGUAACACGAAAUCGUACCCCAAACCGACACAGGUGGUCAGGUAGAGAAUACCAAGGCGCUUGAGAGAACUCGGGUGAAGGAACUAGGCAAAAUGGUGCCGUAACU
rnacentral:rRNA from 1 species